rnacentral:rRNA from 1 species
UACGUAGGGGGCAAGCGUUGUCCGGAUUUAUUGGGCGUAAAGAGCGUGUAGGCGGUCUGGUAGGUCCGCUGUGAAAACUCGAGGCUCAACCUCGAGACGCCGGUGGAAACCAUCAGACUAGAGUCCGGAAGAGGAGAGUGGAAUUCCUGGUGUAGCGGUGAAAUGCGCAGAUAUCAGGAGGAACACCAAUUGCGAAGGCAGCUCGCUGGGACGUAACUGACGCUGAGACGCGAAAGCGUGGGGAGCAAACAGG